rnacentral:rRNA from 1 species
UACGUAGGGGGCAAGCGUUGUCCGGAUUCAUUGGGCGUAAAGAGCGUGUAGGCGGCCCGGUAAGUCCGCUGUGAAAGUCGGGGGCUCAACCCUCGAAUGCCGGUGGAUACUGUCGGGCUAGAGUGCGGAAGAGGCGAGUGGAAUUCCUGGUGUAGCGGUGAAAUGCGCAGAUAUCGGGAGGAACACCUAUGGCGAAGGCAGCUCGCUGGGACGUUACUGACGCUGAGACGCGAAAGCGUGGGGAGCAAACAGG